UCUUUCUCUACACGACGUCUUCCUCUAGGAAAUAUAUUUAUUCUCAUAUUAUGUUUGUCAUACAUGUUGCGCUUAUAUGCAUUAAUAAGACUAUAGAUUGUUUCUUUAUUUGUUUCUUGUUUUGUGUAGUUGAUUUUUUGUUAACGAGUUGUUGUUAUUAUUAUUAUUAUUAUUA
rnacentral:lncRNA from 1 species